rnacentral:rRNA from 1 species
AACGAACGCUGGCGGCAUGCCUAACACAUGCAAGUCGAACGAGAUCUUCGGGUCUAGUGGCGCACGGGUGCGUAACGCGUGGGAAUCUGCCCUUUGGUUCGGAAUAACAGUUGGAAACGACUGCUAAUACCGGAUGAUGACGAAAGUCCAAAGAUUUAUCGCCAGAGGAUGAGCCCGCGUAGGAUUAGCUAGUUGGUGUGGUAAGGGCGCACCAAGGCGACGAUCCUUAGCUGGUCUGAGAGGAUGAUCAGCCCCACUGGGACUGAGACACGGCCCAGACUCCUACGGGAGGCAGCAGUGGGGAACAUUGGACAAUGGGCGAAAGCCUGUUCCAGCAAUGCCGCGUGAGUGAUGAAGGCCUUAGGGUUGUAAAGCUCUUUUACCCGGGAUGAUAAUGACAGUACCGGGAGAAUAAGCUCCGGCUAACUCCGUGCCAGCAGCCGCAGUAA